GUUGGGGCCAGCCAGCAGCCCCAUUUAGUGCUACCCAGUUGUUCUCUGUCCUUGGUCGGGGGUAACCAUGAGAAAACAGGGUGCACUAUAAUUAGGGAAUUUGUUCAGCUAGACUCAUGAACAUUUUGAUCCCUCUUCUGGGAAGGGCAUUGUUUCCAAGUCCUACGAGUGCCGUCUGAAGGGACAAGGAGCCACCUUCGUGGAGACAGACAGCCCCUUCACCGCGGCGGCCCUGGCAGAAGAGCCCCUCGUCAAGGAGAAGCCCCUCAGAAGCAGCAGGAGGCCAGCACCGCCCCCUGAGCAGGUGCAGCAGGUCAUCAUCUUCCAGGGCUACGACGGGGAGUUUGCUCUGGACCCCUCUGUGGAGGAGACGGCCGCCGCCACGCUGCAGACGCUGGCCAUGGCCGGCCAGGUGGCCCGGGUGGUGCACAUCACGGAGGAUGGCCAGGUCAUCGCCACGAGUCAGAGCGGGGCACAUGUAG
rnacentral:sRNA from 1 species